rnacentral:rRNA from 1 species
UACGUAGGGGCCUAGCGUUGUCCGGAUUUAUUGGGCGUAAAGAGCUCGUAGGCGGUUUGGUAAGUCAGGUGUGAAAUCUCCACGCUCAACGUGGAGGGGCCACCCGAAACUGCCAUGACUUGAGUCCGGUAGGGGAGUGUGGAAUUCCCGGUGUAGCGGUGAAAUGCGCAGAUAUCGGGAGAAACACCCGUAGCGAAGGCGGCACUCUGGGCCGGUACUGACGCUGAGGAGCGAAAGCGUGGGGAGCGAACAGG